AUUGAACGCUGGCGGCAUGCUUUACACAUGCAAGUCGAACGGUAACAGGCCUUCGGGUGCUGACGAGUGGCGAACGGGUGAGUAAUGCAUCGGAACGUACCCAGAGGUGGGGGAUAACGCAGCGAAAGCUGUGCUAAUACCGCAUGUGAUCUGAGGAUGAAAGCGGGGGACCGAGCAGCAAUGUUUGGCCUCGCGCCUUUGGAGCGGCCGAUGUCGGAUUAGCUAGUUGGUGGGGUAAAGGCCUACCAAGGCGACGAUCCGUAGCUGGUCUGAGAGGACGACCCGCCACACUGGGACUGAGACACGGCCCAGACUCCUACGGGAGGCAGCAGUGGGGAAUUUUGGACAAUGGGCGCAAGCCUGAUCCAGCAAUGCCGCGUGCGGGAAGAAGGCCUUCGGGUUGUAAACCGCUUUUGGCAGGAACGAAACGGUGUCCGCUAAUACCGGGCGCUAAUGACGGUACCUGCAGAAUAAGCACCGGCUAACUACGUG
rnacentral:rRNA from 1 species